rnacentral:snRNA from 1 species
GUGCUCACUUCAGCAGCACAUAUACUAAAAUUAGAAAAAUACAGAGAAGAUUAGCAUGGCCCCUGUGCAAAGAUGACACACAAAUUUAUGAAGCAUUUUAUAUUUUU